GGAGUUGAAGGCACUGUGACAGUCAAUACUCUGCUAGAUCCACUCGCAUCAUAUGCACCUUUGCCACCAUAUUUUGGAUCUGCCCCAUGGUGAAGAGGACUCUCAGCUUUAAUUCUUACACUAAAGCACGAACCCAUUAACAAAAAGCUCAAAGCUCAAAGCUCAGUGCUCUUCACUCUUCUGACCAGCCCCCCCAGAUGCCAAAGAUUAGAGAAGUAUAGAAACCAAACUCCGAACACCCGACAAAAACAAAGCAGAGAAAGCUUGAGCCCGUGAACAAGGAAAGAAAAUCCAGUGUGAAAGCA
rnacentral:misc_RNA from 1 species